rnacentral:rRNA from 96 species
GUUGACCUCGGAUCAGGUAGGGAUACCCGCUGAACUUAAGCAUAU